rnacentral:rRNA from 1 species
UUAAAUAAGUGCGUAUGGGGGAUGCCUUGGCUCUUAUUGGCGAAGAAGGACGUGACAAGCUGCGAAAAGGCACGGUAAGGAGCAAAUAUCCGCUAACCCGUGCAUCUCCGAAUGGGACAACCCGGUGCAUUGAAGAUGCAUCAUUCCGACUAACAUCGGAAAGCGAACGCAGGGAACUGAAACAUCUAAGUACCUGUAGGAAAAGAAAAUAACAAUGAUUCCGCAAGUAGUGGCGAGCGAACGCGGAAAAGCCCAAACCAUAAUUGUUACGGCAAUUAUGGGGUUAUAGGACUGCGCUAUUCGAGUAUACUAUAUAGAAGAAUGUUUUGGAAAAAACAGCCGUAGGGCGUGACAGCCGCGUAUUUGAAAUAUAGUAGAUUGAUAGCAGUAUCCUGAGUAUGGCGGGACCAGAGAAAUCCUGUCUGAAUUUGCCGGUACCAUCCGGUAAGGCUAAAUACACAUAAGAGACCGAUAGUGAACCAGUACCGUGAGGGAAAGGUGAAAAGUACCGUGAACAACGGGGUGCAAUAGAACCUGAAACCGUGCGCAUACAAGCGGUCGGAGCGGAUAUAUUCCGUGACGGCGUGCCUUUUGCAUAAUGAGCCUACGAGUUACGAUUGUUAGCAAGGUUAAGUGCUGGAAGCACGCAGCCGGAGCGAAAGCGAGUCUGAACAGGGCGUAUAGUUAGCAGUUGUAGACGCGAAACUUUGUGAUCUACCCUUGAGCAGGUUGAAGGUUGGGUAACACUAACUGGAGGACCGAACCGUCUGACGUUGAAAAGUCUCCGGAUGACUUGAGGGUAGGGGUGAAAGGCUAAUCAAACUGAGAGAUAGCUCGUACUCCCCGAAAUGUUUUUAGGAACAGCCUUGUGGAGAGUAUUGCAGAGGUAGAGCUACUGAUAGGAUGCGGGGGUUUCAACGCCUACCAAAUCCUGACAAACUCCGAAUGCUGCAAUAUAUACACAGGAGUGAGCGCGCGGGUGCUAAUGUCCACGCGCGAGAGGGAAAGAACCCGGACUGCCAUCUAAGGUCCCGAAAUGAUAGUUAAGUUGAAAUAACGAGGUCGAAUUGCACAGACAGCUAGGAUGUUGGCUUGGAAGCAGCCAUACAUUUAAAGAGUGCGUAACAGCUCACUAGUCGAGCGAUUUGGCGUGGAUAAUAAACGGGCAUCAAACUAUCUACCGAAGCUGCAGACUGUCUAUUUAAUAUAGUCAUUGGUAGGGGAGCAAUCUUAACAGCGCUGAAGGUAAAGAGAUAACUCAUACUGGAGCGUUAAGAUAAGCAGAUGUAGGCAUAAGUAACGAUAAUGCGGGCGAGAAACCCGCACUCCGAAAGACCAAGGUUUCCUGAUCAACGCUAAUCGGAUCAGGGUAAGUCGGGUCCUAAGGCGAAGCUGAAGAGCGAAGUCGAUGGACAGCCGGUUAAUAUUCCGGCACUUGCAUAAGAGUGAAGUAAGGACGGAGGAAGCAGUCAACUGCGUACUGACGGAAUAGUACGUUGAAGGGCGUAGUCGUAGAUACGGUAGGCAAAUCCGCCGUAGAGAUGAGACCCGAUAGUACAGCGAUGCUUCGGCAGAGUUGAUAAUGUUGAUGGGCUACACUUCCAAGAAAAAUUGCUAACGCAAAUCGAAAUGCAACCCGUACCGUAAACCGACACAGGUGGUCGAGGAUAGUAUCCACAGGAGCUCGAGUGAUUCAUGGCUAAGGAACUAGGCAAAUUAACCCCGUAACUUCGGGAAAAGGGGUGCUGGCGCGAGUCAGCCGCAGAGAAAUGGCCCAGGCGACUGUUUAACAAAAACACAUGGCUUUGCAAAAUCGCAAGAUGAAGUAUAAGGCCUGACACCUGCCCGGUGCUGGAAGGUUAAGAGGAGAUGUCAUCGCAAGAGAAGCAUUGAAUUGAAGCCCCAGUAAACGGCGGCCGUAACUAUAACGGUCCUAAGGUAGCGAAAUUCCUUGUCGGGUAAGUUCCGACCUGCACGAAUGGUGUAACGAUCUGGGCACUGUCUCAGCCAUGAGCUCGGUGAAAUUGAAGUAACGGUGAAGAUGCCGUUUACCCGUAACGGGACGAAAAGACCCCGUGAACCUUCACUACAACUUAACAUUGAUUUUGGGUAUCUGAUGUGUAGGAUAGGUGGGACGCUAUGAAGUAGGGACGUAAGUUCUUAUGGAGCGGCUGUUGAAAUACCACCCUUUAUAUACUUGGAAUCUAACCCGCGGAGCGGGGACAUUGUUUGGUGGGUAGUUUGACUGGGGUGGUCGCCUCCAAAAGUGUAACGGAGGCUUUCAAAGGUUCCCUCAGUACGGUUGGUAACCGUGCGCAGAGCGCAAUAGUAUAAGGGAGCUUGACUGCGAGACAAACAAGUCGAACAGGUAAGAAAUUAGGAUAUAGUGAUCCGGUGGUUCCGCAUGGAAGGGCCAUCGCUCAAAGGAUAAAAGGUACUCCGGGGAUAACAGGCUGAUCAUUCCCAAGAGCUCACAUCGACGGAAUGGUUUGGCACCUCGAUGUCGGCUCGUCACAUCCUGGGGCUGGAGAAGGUCCCAAGGGUUCGGCUGUUCGCCGAUUAAAGUGGCACGCGAGCUGGGUUCAGAACGUCGCGAGACAGUUCGGUCUCUAUCUGUUAUGGGCGCAAGAAAUUUGAGGGGCUCUGACUCUAGUACGAGAGGACCGAGUCGGACGUACCGCUAGUGUACCGGUUGUAUCGCCAGAUGCACCGCCGGGUAGCUAUGUACGGAUUAGAUAAGUGCUGAAAGCAUCUAAGUACGAAACUAACCCCAAGAUGAGAUUUCCUUACAAGGGUCGUAGAAGACGACUACGUUGAUAGGCUGCAGGUGUAAAGUCAGUGAUGGCAAAGCCGAGCAGUACUAAUUACCCGAACAAUUUC